UUCACCAGGGGUGCCCCGGCAAGGGGCUGAGAUUCUGCUGGCUUUCGCAGCGCAGUGACCCGUUGAACCUGAUCCAGUUCAUACUGGCGUAGGGACGGUG
rnacentral:ncRNA from 1 species